AAGCAGAGGACAGUGGCGGACGGGUGAGUAACGCGUGAGGAACCUGCCUUUCAGAGGGGGACAACAGUUGGAAACGACUGCUAAUACCGCAUGACACAUAGGUGUCGCAUGGCACUUAUGUCAAAGAUUUAUUGCUGAAAGAUGGCCUCGCGUCUGAUUAGAUAGUUGGUGAGGUAACGGCUCACCAAGUCGACGAUCAGUAGCCGGACUGAGAGGUUGAACGGCCACAUUGGGACUGAGACACGGUCCAGACUCC
rnacentral:rRNA from 1 species